UACGAAGGGGGCUAGCGUUGUUCGGAUCUACUGGGCGUAAAGCGCACGUAGGCGGAUCGUUAAGUCGGGGGUGAAAUCCUGGAGCUCAACUCCAGAACUGCCUUCGAUACUGGCGAUCUAGAGUCCGGAAGAGGUGAGUGGAACUCCUAGUGUAGAGGUGGAAUUCGUAGAUAUUAGGAAGAACACCAGUGGCGAAGGCGGCUCACUGGUCCGGUACUGACGCUGAGGUGCGAAAGCGUGGGGAGCAAACAGG
rnacentral:rRNA from 1 species